AACCAAAGCAAGUCCCCAACUUUGUCGAACUCAAAUCCAACCUCAGCACAAAUCCUAGAACCUCCAUAUCUAUCAAUCAAGCAAACUCUUAGAAACCAUAUUAAGUUACAGAAACACAGUGAGACCAAUCAACCAAAAGCAACACAUCAACAGUUCCCUCAUUCAGAUUCUGAAAGCUUCCAACCAGAUAAAACUUAAAGCUACAGCAUACACAAAGAAAGCCCCAUAAUUAGUACUACAGAGAGCUCAGAAAGAACACUUAACAAAGACUCCUAGGAAUCUAAAAUUCUGAAACUUUACCUCAAAAGAGUGCAAGAAGAUUGAAGGGGGUUCUUAUAAAAAAGGAAUCUUUACACCAAAAGAAACCCCCCCCCCCCCCCAACUGGAAUUCAACCUAGCAAGAUCCUAAAACUCCAUAGCCAUCAAUCUCAAACUACAGAAAACCCAGAAAGAACACUUAAUAAAGCAAGCUAUUCCGAAUCAAAAGCUCAAUGACUUCCCAUCAAAAGAGCUGCAAGAAGACUACAUUACACUCCAAAAACUUAGUACAGCUCUGAAUUCAACUCAGCACAAUCCCAGACACUCCACAGCCAUCAAUCCAAAACCACAGGAAAACCCCAGAGAAAGAAUCAAACUUUACCUGAAAAGAGUGCAAGACGAUGGAAAGGGGUUUGUCAAGAAGGAAUCUCCGAAUAAUAAAAACCCCAGCAGGGAAACCAACCCGUCGUCAAUCAGAGACAGUUAGGUGGUGGAGAGUGCUGAAAAAUAAAAAGGGUCUGAUCUUUUGCAGAAAGUAGGGAAUGAGUGAGAAAAGAGAGAGCACACGUUUAGCAGGAAGCCAAAAGAACGUGUUCCCUAAGGGGGGUAAGGGAUGAUAGAUAGAAGUGAGAGCUACACCCAACGCUAUAAUCGCUGCACAAGUAUGGGACGACUCUCUGUGUUACUCCCUUCUGCCAGCAAGACGUUAUGCAAACAUAAUAAUUUGAAAUGCAACUUGACUUGGACUGUGUAUUAAAUGACCAAGAAAUCUCGAGUCUUCCCCCCAAAAAAAAGUCUCCAGGGCGAAGAGCUUAGAUUCAGACUCCUCGCUGUCUUUCUUUCUUUCUCUAGCUAAGCUCCGUUGGGAUCUGUUAGAUGUCUCAGUGGGUUAAGGAAAAGGGGAAACUUUGGCAAAGAAACAACUAGACUUCUGGGAUUUUGGUCUUCUUUUCUUUCUCAUUUGCCUUUUCUGUUUAGU
rnacentral:lncRNA from 1 species